CUGAAGUCUGCACCAGCACAGAAACCUGCCUCUGGACACCAUCAGACUCUACCAGAUGCCGUGGGCACCAUCCCCGAGAAACCGGUACAUAAAACAGAGAUAAUGAUUCACUUAUAGGUUAAAAACUGUGCCGGUCUAAAGAAUAAAUUUGUCCUUUUGUUUUAGGACUACACCGAGACGUCGAUGACCCCCUCUUGCUCCAGGACCCGGCUGAAGAAUGAAGACAAAGACUUGGUCCCCUGAUUGGAGGUAAGUCAAUCUUUGCGAGUGGUCUUGCUUGUUUCAGUCAAAGUUUUAUGGUGAUAAAUUGAUGUAAACAGUCCACUAACUGGAUCUGAUCCCUGUCUGCCUUCUGUAGUCACCACCCUGCAGGCGGACUUCCUGUCUCACUGUGAGCCCGUAGACCUUCAGCCUCGUCCAGAAAACCCUUACUCAGGACAUGGUGAGUGCGCCUUUCUCUUUCAGGCUCUACUUUGAGGAGCACACAUGAGCAGCUUUCUUAAAUCCUUCUAACAGAUGAGUCCGUUAAGAUUAUGAUAGUUGGAUGUUUUUACUCGAUGGGCACAGAUAAACCUCAACAACCCAUGAAGAGUGCAAGCUUUGCUAUGUCACUGUCACUUUAUAGAUCUCCUCCACCUUUAUAUCGCUGACAUUAUCAGUAUUAUUGACAUUAUAGGAUUAUCACUGAGACCUUUUCUGACUGAUAGAAAACUAAAUGAAAACGAGGCAGAAUAUUCACUCAUGACAGUUUUCUUCAUUUACAGGAGGAUACUCGAGUCUCGACUGAGGACCCAGUGAUGAAGAUGGAUGACCUGUCUGUGACACAAGGGUCAUAGAGGAUAGUUCUGUACUGAUGAAUCUAUUAUAAAUUAUUCAUCUGUUUGACCAGAUGAUGUGUUGUUAAACUUGCUAACAUUUGAG